CCUGAAGUCAGCACAACGUUAUCCAGUCCAAUUUCUCCACCAACACCACCUCCUUGUUGAGCUUCAAAGAUGAUCUGGCUACAGUGAGAAACUCUGUCUGCCAGGCCUGGUUUUGGCUUUGGCUCUGCUCCCAUAUUGGAUAAACAUUGUUAUCCAGGAGGACUCUGAGGGUGCCAACAUUGUUGCCCACGACUCGGAAGUCAAACUUGCAGGCCAGUGGAGGGGCAGAGACAGCGGAUCUCCCCAUGAACCUCCUCACAGCCAUACUGACAGUAAGCCAGAGAGCACGUCCUGGAAUCUUCAUUUAAGCAAAGCCGCAUAAUUACAGCCAUAACAACACUCCAGUCUCCUGCCAUAGCGACACACACCUGGUUGGCUGCCAGUGAGGACUUGCCUGUGGUGUAUUUGCAGAGGACAAGUACAUCAUGAUAUCAGGUUCUGCCAAAACCAGGACUGGGCUGCUGCAGUUUUGGGCCACACUAGGACGCUUUUGUCACACAGCCUUUUCCUCAGGCGCAGGAAAUGUGAAUGCUGCAAAACUGGUUCCAGCAUCAAAACCAAUAUAACAUCAACAUUCUCCUCCAGCAGUCUUUGGUUGUCCAGAAGGGGCGUUCCCGGAAACCAGUCCCGCUCCUCCAAGCACAAAGGAUGGGACUUCUGUUCCUCCCCCUCCAGUUUCACCAC